UACGAAGGGUGCAAGCGUUACUCGGAAUUACUGGGCGUAAAGCGCACGUAGGCGGCUAUUCAAGUCGGGGGUGAAAGCCCGGGGCUCAACCCCGGAACUGCCCUCGAAACUAGAUAGCUAGAAUCUUGGAGAGGCGAGUGGAAUUCCGAGUGUAGAGGUGAAAUUCGUAGAUAUUCGGAAGAACACCAGUGGCGAAGGCGACUCGCUGGACAAGUAUUGACGCUGAGGUGCGAAAGCGUGGGGAGCAAACAGG
rnacentral:rRNA from 1 species